rnacentral:rRNA from 1 species
UACGAGAACCCCAAGCGUUAUCCGGAAUCAUUGGGCGUAAAGGGUGUGUAGGCGGCGAUGUUAGUCUUCUGUCAAAUUCUUCGGCUUAACCGGGGGCUUGCAGGGGAAACGGCAUGGCUCGAGAGUGCGAGAGGUGAAUGGAACUCAUGGAGUAGGGGUAAUAUCCGUUGAUAUCAUGGGGAACACCAAAAGCGAAGGCAAUUCACUGGCGCAUUUCUGACGCUGAGACACGAAAGCAUGGGGAGCGAACAGG